rnacentral:lncRNA from 1 species
AAGUUUCUUCAGUACAUGCCACACCCCUUUUCUGUCUGGUUUUAAUUUCAGCUCACUUUUGUGCAGAGCUCCAUUUUGUUCAGGCGUCGCAACAGGGCUGUUCUCCUUCUUAGAAAAACAUUUGUUCUGACAUUACUGUACAAAUGGAUAACAGAGGGGAAAACAGAACAGCUGAAACGGACAACCUUUCUAAAAAACGUCCAAGCUCCAGUCCUGAGAGGCCUGGAAUUGGUAAGAUUUUUUUUUUGUCAUUGUCGUUUUUAUUUGCUUUUAGUAAAUUGUUUAUGAAGGGAAAUGGAA